rnacentral:rRNA from 1 species
AGUUUGAUUAUGGCUCAGAUUGAACGCUGGCGGGAUGCUUUACACAUGCAAAGUCGAACGGCAGCACGGACUUCGGUCUGGUGGCAGUGGCAGACGGGUGAGUAAUGUAUCGGAACGUGCCUAGUGGCGGGGAUAACUGCGCGAAAGCGUAGCUAAUACCGCAUACGCCCUUCGGGGGAAAGCGGGGGACCUUCGGGCCUCGCACUAUUAGAGCAGCCGAUAUCGGAUUGUAGUUGGUGAGGUAACGGCUCACCAAGGCGACGAUCCGUAGCUGGUUUAGAGGACGACCAGCCACACUGGGACUGAGACACGGCCCAGACUCCUACGGGAGGCAGCAGUGGGGAAUUUUGGACGUGGAAACCCUGAUCCAGCCAUCGCAUGUGCGAUGAAGGCCUUCGAGGUUGUAAAGCACUUUUGGCAGGAAAGAAACGGCACGGGAUAAUACCCCGUGCAACUGACAGUACCUACAGAAUAAGCACCGGCUAACUACGUGCCAGCAGCCGCGGUAAUACGGCAGUGCAAGCGUUAAUCGGAAUUACUGGGCGCGUAAAGCGUGCGCAGGCGGUUCGGAAAGAAAGAUGUGAAAUCCCAGAGCUUAACUGGAGCAUACAUUUUAACUACCGAGCUUUAGAGUGUGUCAGAAGGGUGGAAUUCCGCAUUGUAGCAGUGAAAUGCGUAGAUAUACGGAGGAACACCGAUUGGCGAAGGCAGCCUCCUGGGAUAACACUGGCCUCGUACACAAAAAAGCAUGAGGAGCAAAACGGGAUUAGAUACCCUGGUAGUCCACGCCCUAAACGAUGUCAACUAGCUGUUGGGGCCUUCGGGCCUUGGUAGCGCAGCUACUUACAAAAAAUGGAUUGACCGCCUGGAGAUACCACGGUCGCAAAGAUUAAAACUCAAAGGAAUUGACGGGGACCGCACAAGCGGUGGAUGAUGUGGAUUAAUUCGAUGCAACGCGAAAAACCUUACCUACCCUUGACAUGUCUGGAAUCCCAGAAGAGGGCCCGGGAGUGCUCGCAAGAGAACCAGAACUGGGUGCUGCAUGGCUGUCGUCAGCUCGUGUCGUGAGAUGUUGGGUUAAGUCCCGCAACGAGCGCAACCCUUGUCAUUAGUUGCUACGAAAGGGCACUCUAAUGAGACUGCCGGUGACAAACCGGAGGAAGGUGGGGAUGACGUCAAGUCCUCAUGGCCCAUAUGGGUAGGGCUUCACACGUCAUACAAUGGUCAGGACAGAGGUCGCCAACCCGCGAGGGGAACAUCCGGCCGAUCGUGAUCCGGAUCGCAGUCUGCAACUCGACUGCGUGAGUCAGGAGAAAUCGCUAGUAAUCGCGGAUCAGCAUGUCGCGGUGAAUACGUUCCCGGGUCUUGUACACACCGCCCGUCACACCAUGGGAGUGGGUUUUACCAGAAGUAGUUAGCUAACCGUAAGGAGGGCGAUUACCACAGUAGGAUUCAUGACUGGGUGGGUCGUAACAAGGUAG